GCCACAUCCCGUACGAUCACUAAAGUUAAGCAACGUCGAGCCUGGUCAGUACUUAGAUGGGUGACCGCUUGGGAAUUCCUG